rnacentral:lncRNA from 1 species
AUAUUAAAAAUAAAAAUAAAUAAAAAUAAAAAAUAAAAUAAAAUAAAAUGAACACCGUUUUGGAGAGGCGACAAAAAAGGCGAUUAGGGAUUUCUCUUAGCCGGACUUACCGCUAGUUACGACUGGUGAGAGUCCGUCAAAGGUGGAAGCGCGGGGCUUUGAUCAGGAAACGAGGCUGGAGAUGGAUCUGACUGAGCUAACUCAGAAGUUGACGAAUGAUUUGGGGCUGAAAAGUUCUGA